rnacentral:pre_miRNA from 1 species
CCCCAUCGUCACCCCGGCGAAGGCCGGGGCCCAGUCCCCAGUCCGGAUCCGGAUGGGGGACUGGAUCCCGGCCUUCGCCGGGAUGACGGUUGAA